rnacentral:lncRNA from 1 species
CUAUAUAAUUGCAUGUGUCACGUAGCUCAGCUGGUAUGUGGGUUCAAGGGAACAUGAACAUCGAGGUUUCGAGUUUGAAUCCUGAAAACCAUAUUUUUUUUAUCACCUGUCACUGCCGGGUGAUGAGGGGUUAGACAUGGUAGUGAUGGUCAAUUCUGCAGUAGUGGUCAUGGUUUGGAUACAUUUCUCUAUGUGUCAGUUAGGUUUCUAUAUAUAAGCUUUUUUUAGUUU